UCCUGGUUUCCCAGGCAGUCCCGUUAGAGUGCCUUCCGAAGAAGUAGCAACUAACGGCAAGAGUUGCGCUCGUUAUAGGACUUAACCCAACAUCUCACGACACGAGCUGACGACAGCCAUGCAGCACCUGUGAAUCUGUCCAAACCGAAGUCUGGAAAAUUGUAUUUCUACAACGAUCAGAAACAUGUCAAGCCUAGGUAAGGUUCCUCGCGUAGUGUCGAAUUAAACCACAUGUUCCACCGCUUGUGCGGACCCCCGUCAAUUCCUUUGAGUUUUAGUCUUGCGACCGUAAUCCCCAGGCGGACCACUUAACGCGUUAGCUACGACACUAAUUUCGCAAAGCGAAACUAACGUCUAGUGAUCAUCGUUUACAGCGUGGACUAC
rnacentral:misc_RNA from 1 species